AUGGGAGAGGGGGUGGGAAUGUGGGGAGCAGCACAGGGCCUCUUAAUUCGUGGAAAAAUACUGCAGACGUUGACAGAGGUUCUACUGGGAGCUCGAGAACCUGACCUCCGCGAGUGCCCAACGUUGUUGUUCUGCAUUACUCCCCUUCCUAUGACUCAUUUACUGCCAUCCAAGGAAGCCAAGAAGAAGAAGGUGGAGGUCUCCCAGCACCAACGAGUAAGAAACCUGAGACCUAUGAAAGGAUUGCGUCCGAGAGGAAGGACACCUGAGAGACAUAUGGUGGGGAAUGAAGGUAUGAAUAUCCAAACCAGAGACACACACGUCGUCCCCGGGACCGAGGUGAGGCCGCAGAGGGGUUUGGUAAUACCCUGUAUAAUACCUGCACAGUUACUGAGAGCAUCUGCUGUAGGAAGGGAAGGGGGAGAAGGAGGGAGGCUCAUUUGGAUGUGGAUGUGCUUCUGGCGGUUAUAAGGAAUUCUAUUAUUGCUCCCAAAAAGCAAGUAUCUAUAUGGUAAUUUCCCUGUAAUGUGUGUGCUGUGGGUAGAUACAUGAUAAUCCCAGUGUAAUUAAUGGUUCCUCUGGUGAGCGCCUGAUUAAUGCAUGUGCAGCCAUUGAACACAUGGAUUUUGUCGCAAACUAUUGGAAUAUUUAAUGGACAUUGAGGUAAACAUGCCCUCUUACAGCCAUCUAGAGACCUUCCUAUUAGAAAAACUCCCAUAGCCUCAUCUUUCCCUGAGCUGCCUUAAAGUACCACGGUUGCAUCCCAAAUGGCACCCUAUUGCAUAUUUAGUGCACUACUUUUGACCAGAUCCCUAUGGGUAGUGCAUUACAAAAGGUAACAGGGUGCCAUUUGGGAUGCAGCCCACAUACACAGCCCAGCCGACGUAUUCACAUGUUGUCCCUCGGGUUCAUAUGUAAGUGGGGGAAGGACCAAAAAACAAAAGACCCCGAGCAAGGUCCUUUGUCUUUCCUUAAGUGCCGCAUCAUUCUCAAUAUCCUGGCAGUUUUUGUCCCCGUGGCCACACUCCUGCCAGCGUUAUUAGCUCAGCUUAAUAAUGAACCCACCAGGCAUCAUCUUCAUUAGGAAGGACGGAGGAGUGGGGGCCAGGGAGCCAGGCUGACCCUGCUACAAUCUCUUCACUGGGGAUCUGGCACCGGAAUUUUAAUAGGAGAGCAAAGCAGGCAGGUGGGUCAGUCCUGGAGACAUGCUGUGCAUGCCAAUCUGGUCCCUGCAUCCAUGGCUCAGGAACAAACUGAAGGAGACAGGAAAGGUGCUGGUGGCAGGGGGAUCAGGACAGCGAUGCAGCAUCCAUUCAGGUGAGAAGGAGCAUCGUUCGGUGACAAACAGCCCAUGAGCCAUGCUGGCUUCUCCAUAUUAAUGAGGUUGGUUGAGCUGUGAGGAUUCCUGUUAAUUGCUUUUGCUGGAUUGUCAGCUGGACUGCUAUUGGUGUGAGCGACAAAAUAAAUGAAAGCAGUAAAGUUAGGUCUAUAGUCUCAUCUGGCCGUAGGCUCUUACAGACCCGAUCCCAUUCACUCUCCCUACCUACUUAAAUGUUCUGCAUCGGAGC
rnacentral:lncRNA from 13 species